AUUGAACGCUGGCGGCAUGCCUUACACAUGCAAGUCGAACGGUAACAGGUCUUCGGAUGCUGACGAGUGGCGAACGGGUGAGUAAUACAUCGGAACGUGCCCGAUCUUGGGGGAUAACGGAGCGAAAGCUUUGCUAAUACCGCAUACGAUCUACGGAUGAAAGCAGGGGACCGCAAGGCCUUGCGCGGACGGAGCGGCCGAUGGCAGAUUAGGUAGUUGGUGGGAUAAAAGCUUACCAAGCCGACGAUCUGUAGCUGGUCUGAGAGGACGACCAGCCACACUGGGACUGAGACACGGCCCAGACUCCUACGGGAGGCAGCAGUGGGGAAUUUUGGACAAUGGGCGAAAGCCUGAUCCAGCCAUGCCGCGUGCAGGAUGAAGGCCUUCGGGUUGUAAACUGCUUUUGUACGGAACGAAAAGACUCUUUCUAAUAAAGAGGGUCCAUGACGGUACCGUAAGAAUAAGCACCGGCUAACUACGUG
rnacentral:rRNA from 1 species